UACGAAGGGGGCUAGCGUUGCUCGGAAUCACUGGGCGUAAAGGGUGCGUAGGCGGGUCUUUAAGUCAGGGGUGAAAUCCUGGAGCUCAACUCCAGAACUGCCUUUGAUACUGAGGAUCUUGAGUUCGGGAGAGGUGAGUGGAACUGCGAGUGUAGAGGUGAAAAUUCGUAGAUAUUCGCAAGAACACCAGUGGCGAAGGCGGCUCACUGGCCUGAUACUGACGCUGAGGCACGAAAAGCGUGGGGGAGCAAACAGG
rnacentral:rRNA from 1 species